rnacentral:rRNA from 1 species
CGGGUGAGUAAUGCAUCGGAACAUGUCCAGUCGUGGGGGAUAGCCCGGCGAAAGCCGGAUUAAUACCGCAUACGCCCGAGAGGGGAAAGUGGGGGACCGCAAGGCCUCACGCGAAUGGGUUGGCCGAUGUCCGAUUAGCUAGUUGGCGGGGUAAAGGCCCACCAAGGCGAUGAUCGGUAGCUGGUCUGAGAGGAUGAUCAGCCACACUGGGACUGAGACACGGCCCAG